GAUGAACGCUAGCGGCAGGCCUAACACAUGCAAGUCGAGGGGCAGCAUAAUAAAAGCUUGCUUUUAUGGUGGCGACCGGCGCACGGGUGCGUAACGCGUAUGCAACCUACCUUAUACUGGGGUGUAGCCCGGAGAAAUUCGGAUUAAUCCCCCAUAGUAUAUAUGAAUCGCAUGGUUUAUAUAUUAAAGGUUACGGUAUAAGAUGGGCAUGCGUCCCAUUAGCUAGGUGGUGGGGUAACGGCUCACCAUGGCGACGCUGGGUGGGGGGCCGGAGAGGGUGGUCCCCCACACUGGUACUGAGACACGGACCAGACUCCUACGGGAGGCAGCAGUGAGGAAUAUUGGUCAAUGGGCGAGAGCCUGAACCAGCCAUGCCGCGUGCAGGAAGACGGUCCUAUGGAUUGUAAACUGCUUUUAUUUGGGAAUAAACUCCGAUACGUGUAUCGGCCUGAAGGUACCAAAUGAAUAAGCACCGGCUAACUCCGUGCCAGCAGCCGCCGUAACAC
rnacentral:rRNA from 1 species